UCUCCGUAGGUGAACCUGCGGAGGGAUCAUUACAGAGUUCAUGCCCUACCGGGUAGAUCUCCCACCCUAUGUUAUUAUUACUUUGUUGCUUUGGCGGGCCGUUAGGCUCCGGCCCGACUACCUGCCCCGGCUGGUAAGCGCCCGCCAGAGGACCCAAAACCCUGAAUAUUAGUGUCGUCUGAGUACUAUAUAAUAGUUAAAACUUUCAACAACGGAUCUCUUGGUUCUG
rnacentral:misc_RNA from 1 species